AACCUGAUCAGCAGGAAGCAGGAAGGACCAAACCAAAUCUUUUCAGCUUCCGCAGUAUCACACUGAAACAAUCAAGAGAAAAAUCUCUCUUCUGGGGUUCUGCCACCAACACAGUAAAGAUGGACAGUGAUGCAGCAACAGGCUGAAGUACAUUUACUUUCCUGGCCUGAAAUCAUUGCAGUUAGCUUUUACCAGAGAAAUCACAGGACUCAAAAGCUGCUGGCAACACCCAAACUGUGUUUUAAAUGCAUGUUCUAGUGGUGUCUGUCCUCCUGGCACAGAGCAACAUGCUUCAUCAAGCCAAGAAAUAUUAAUUAUUUGAAUAGCCGUUGAGAGAAAGGUCAGACUGCUUCCUAAGAGCAGUGGGAAGAGCUGCAUUUCAAGAAAGGCUCUGAGAAAGUUACUCCAUUUUCAGUGUGGGUUGGUGUAUGUGCACACACAUCUGUGUACAUUAAGGUGAUUGGCCACAGCCACUUAUCAUAGACCUGGCUGAAAAAAAGGAGCAUCUCCUGGGACCAGGUUUCAGCGCUGUGCUGAGGCAGACCCCGUCUGGCCCCAGGAACCACCAGGUCCUGCCCAGGGCAGUGCCGUCAGCCCCAGAGCCAAUGCUCAGCCAGUGCUGGAAGGGAAACACCCAUCAGAAGAUGCAAGGUGGCCUAGUGAGUGACAGCAGUGACAGAGCACAGUCAACAUCGCUAGGGAAAUAUGCCAUAUAAGACUAUACAGAACAUAGCUCAAAAGUAUGCAGAGAUUCAGCUUACAGAAAUGCAAGACAAACUUAGAUUUUUUCCCCCCUCUUGUCUUUCUGCCAUUUAUACUUGCAAUACUGAUUGCCAAAUGUGAGGAGACAAGUUAUGGUGCCCAAAUACAUCUCCCAAAGGAUGACUGCUCGCUCUGUUUGUGUUAAAGUGCUUGGUUUCAUCUCAUCCAUCGCAAGCUACAGACCGGUCCUUGACACCAGAGAUUCAAUACGUGGUGAGUCCCGCGGCACUUACCCGGCCCAGCUGGCGCCGCCAGGGGAGAGCAGUGCAGGGGCACGCAGCGAGGGCAGCGCAGUGGCGGUGCAGGCACCCCCAGAGGAGCCACCGGCUCUGCCCUCCCAGGGCAGACGGGUUCCGGCUGACUCUGCACAGGCGGGACCCCAGCAGCCUUGAUACUUGGCGCAAAAGGCGAGAGUUGCACUCUGCCCAGUAUCAGCUUGGGAUUGUCAGUAUAACACUCAUCCUGCCUGCUUGCCUCCUGGUCCCCCCGGGCAUGUGGCAGAGGCCAGCAGGCCCUCUGGUCUCGGGGAUCUCUCAAGCUCUGAUGGCCCAGGGAUGAGCCUUGGGUUGCGGCACGUC
rnacentral:lncRNA from 1 species